rnacentral:rRNA from 1 species
UAAGUUGGUAGUGAAAGCGUGUGGCUCAACCAUACAUCCAUUACCAAAACUGCUUUAGCUAGAGGAUGAGAGAGGUUAUUGGAAUUCCCUGUGUAGGAGUGAAAUCCGUAGAUAUAGGGAGGAACACCGAUGGCGUAGGCAGAUAACUGGCUCAUUCCUGACACUAAGGCACGAAAGCGUGGGGAGCAAACGGGAUUAGAUACCCCGGUAGUCCACGCCGUAAACUAUGGAUGCUA